UCCGUCCGUCAGUCCUGAACGAGUGAACGACCGUUCUGGGCUCCAUAACCAGCCAAGCGAAGUGAGCGAGGCAGGCCGACCUGAGUCGCGACGUGCACCGUAUUGACGUGAUUCGUAAACUUAGCCAGGCCAACUCGACACGCAAGGUGUACCGAAGUGAGACGCCCAUCCGGAGGAGGACUUCGCUGGGACGAAAUAGAAUAUUGAAUUAUUAUUUUGUACAUAAUUUAGAAUUAAUAGAUUUGCUUUGUUUUCAA
rnacentral:lncRNA from 1 species